rnacentral:rRNA from 1 species
UACGAAGGGGGCUAGCGUUGCUCGGAAUCACUGGGCGUAAAGCGCACGUAGGCGGCUUUCUAAGUCGGUGGUGAAAUCCUGGAGCUCAACUCCAGAACUGCCUUUGAUACUGAGGAUCUUGAGUUCGGGAGAGGUGAGUGGAACUGCGAGUGUAGAGGUGAAAUUCGUAGAUAUUCGCAAGAACACCAGUGGCGAAGGCGGCUCACUGGCCCGAUACUGACGCUGAGGCACGAAAGCGUGGGGAGCAAACAGG